ACAUGGCUCUUUGUUUUUCAUAGAUAAAGAGUCGGACCUGCCCAGUGAAUUAUUUUAACGGCCGCGGUACCCUGACCGUGCAAAGGUAGCAUAAUCAUUUGCCUUUUAAUUGGAGGCUAGUAUGAAUGGUUUGACGAAAGCGAAACUGUCUCUUAUUUGCUUCCUAAAAAUUAAUUUUGAUGUGAAGAAGCAUUAAUAUUUCUAAAAGACAAGAAGACCCUGUUGAGCUUAAAUAAUGAAAAAAACAAAAUUAUAUAAGUAGAAAAUUAUUUUUUAAAAAUUAUUUUAGUUGGGGCGACUGAGGAACAAAAUAGCUUCCUUUCAUUGUUUUAGCACACUUGCAAAGAUCCAGCCAAAUGCUGAUCAAAGAAAAUAGUUACCACAGGGAUAACAGCGUAAUCUUCUUUUAGAGCUCCCAUCGAA
rnacentral:rRNA from 1 species